UUAGUAUGCCCUCCCAACUAAAACUUGCGCCGUCCCAUGUCUUGUACAAUUAGUGGUGGGUCUAUGAAAUUAGGGUGCCACUAGUUUUCCUUGACUAGACGGGUUUGUGUCGGACACUUACACGCAUAAGGGUUGGUUUGCUUAACAAGGUUAUCUUAACGGUUAAGGACCUUGGGGCAUAAAGGUUGGGUGCCGAGACAUAGAGAUGUCACCCAACAACAGGAGUCAUAUGUGAUAUGAUUAGCAAAAGUUGCUUACCGAUCUACCUCGUUUGCUAGCGGUGAUGCUAAAGCUCACUAGUAGACUUGUUAGUUGUGGAUCCUGAAUCACUAAGUUUCAAUAGAGGGAUAUUGAUUUUAGUGGGAGUAGAUUCUGUUAAAAUAGUUUAAUGUAAUUUGCUCUAUCAUGGAUACGUUUGUCUUAGUGUAUUUUGCAUUACUUUUGUUGUAGAUUAAAUGGCACCUAGCAGCACUACACCGUUUGCUUUGCGUUCGGUCCUUGAG
rnacentral:lncRNA from 1 species